CAAAUUUGGCAUGUUUGACCUGGUUUCAACAAGCAUAAUAAUGUUGGAGAUGGGGAUGAUGACAGACCAGCCAGCCGAACUCAAAUUGGAUUAGACAUCAUGCGCCACCUGGUUGCUGAAGCUCGAGAGGACCUUUAUGGACAAAAAAUCCUGUUCAAGAUAGUUCUGUCUGGAAUUCCAUACCACCUCCAGAGAAUGGAAAAUGUCUUCAAAU